GGAAAAUGUGUCUGGUUAUCAAGUUGACAAGACAUGGAUUCUGAUGGUUAAUUGAUUAAUUGUCAGGUUGAGUGAGAACACCCAGCUGAAUAGAGUCAGCAUGAUUCCAGGUGUGAAGGACCCUCUUUAAGGAGGAUUGUUGUUGAGCUGGUAUAAAAAGGACAAAGUGAGGGAAAGAUUUCAGCUGAUCUUCCUUGGCGGCUCCUUGCCUGAGUCCUGCAAGCUGUUGUAAGCACUGACUAAUAUAUUAUCUAAUGUUUUGCAAGAAUUCAGAAGAAACCUAGUGAGGUCUUCUGACUCAGGGUGUCCUACAAGACUGUCAUCAUGGUGUUUGUGAGUUUAUGGUCUCACCUGAAAGAUCUAGUGAGGGGGAAACCCUUUCAAGUGAUUGUUGGCAGAAUUCAGUUCUUCAUGUGCUUCCGGACCCAGAGGCUCACUUCCUUCUCAUGUAGGCUUAUCAACGGAGCAGUUCACAACAUGAUAUUUGCCUUCUAUCAGAAGCACAUGGGAAUGCAAAAGAGAGAGACUUCUGGAUCACCUACAGCAACCCCAAAGGGAAACAAGAUGGAACAAUCUGAUACUCAACCAACUGGACUCUGAACUGGCAACAAAAGAGGAUCUCAGAAAAAUGAAAUCAGAAAUAAUUACUCAGAUAACAGCAAAGAUUUUUCUCAUGGUGCAAGACAUGAUUAAUAAAUCUAGAGAGGACACAGAUUAAAAAAAUAGAGGAUCUGAGGAACAUGAUGGAAUCCCAACAUAGGAAACAAAUGGAAUCCAUAAAACAGAUGCAAACAGAUUUCCAGGAGAUUAAAAACUCCAUCGAAAGUCUGCACAGCAGAAUGAACCAAUGUGAGGAUAGAAUUUCAGAUAUAGAAGAAAAGAUUGCAAUUAGUGGCCAGGAAAAGAAAAAUUGCUUUAAAAUUGUAAAGUAAUACAAGAAAUCAAUCCAGCAGCUGCUAGAUGAUGCAAAGAAGAAUAACAUAAGACUGAUUGGUGUCAAUGAAGAAAGAGGAGAGAGUGCAGAUGACAUACUGCAUUAAAUCUUAAAACUGAGGAAUUUAAAAAGACAUUUAUUAAAAAUAAUCUGUUAAAUGUGAACAUACAAGUAGACAUCUGUGAAAAGAG
rnacentral:lncRNA from 1 species